rnacentral:rRNA from 1 species
GAUCAUGGGCUCAGGAUGAACGCUAGCUACAGGCUUAACACAUGCAAGUCGAGGGGCAGCAUGGUCUUAGCUUGCUAAGGCCGAUGGCGACCGGCGCACGGGUGAGUAACGCGUAUCCAACCUGCCUUACACUCUUGGACAGCCUUCUGAAAGGGAGAUUAAUACAAGAUGUUAUCAUGAGUAAGCAUUUUCGCAUGAUUAAAGGUUUACCGGUGUAAGAUGGGGAUGCG